GUGACGAAGCGACGCCGCGUGGGUGAGGAAGGCCUUCGGGUUGUAAAGCCCUGUCAGGAGUUAAGAAAUGUAAGUGUGCUAAUAUCGCAUUUAUUUGACGAAGGCUCCAAAGGAAGCCACGGCUAACUCUGUGCCAGCAGCCGCGGUAAUACAGAGGUGGCAAGCGUUGUUCGGAAUUAUUGGGCGUAAAGAGCACGUAGGUGGUUUUGCAAGUCAGAUGUGAAAGCCUCCUGUUCAACGGGAGAACUGCAUCUGAAACUGCAGAACUUGAGUAUAGGAGGGGAGAGUGGAACUUCUGGUGGAGCGGUGAAAUGCGUAGAUAUCAGAAGGAACGCCGGUGGCGAAAGCGACUCUCUGGCCUAAAACUGACACUGAGGUGCGAAAGCUAGGGGAGCAAACGGGAUUAGAUACCCCGGUAGUCCUAGCUGUAAACGAU
rnacentral:rRNA from 1 species